AUGAGUAUCCCCACGCGCUGCGUAGUUGAAUUCCUUUUGGGUCUCGACGUUUGUGGAGUGCGCAUCUUUGUUUAGGAAAUGAGUUGCAGUAUGACUGUUUCCGGCCUAGGCCUCGUGGGGGCAGGAGUAGCUUUGUCCUUAAGUUUAUUUAAGAGGGUGGUGGCGGGCGAUGAUAAAUGCGGUUAUUAAUUUCCUCUCACUUAAAUUGAAUUAAUUGUUUCAGAUUUGGAGGCUGGGGAAGGGGGCUUGAUAGGAGCUUCCUCGCUACCAUGAGGUGAAUCUAUUUCUUGUAGUUAGGGAGAGGAUGACUAGUAAUUGUUUUCUAGUCAUAGCGUUGAUUUGAACAAUGCUGCUCUUAAUACAGCGCAGAGCAGCUUACAAAGCUCAGUAGUAGGCCCUUCUCUUAGGGUUACCAUCUGAGAAAGAAAUCUUGACACACGAGGGAGGAGGGACAAAGCUCAUAUUAGUUCCUCAAAAUAAUGUUUUUUGUAAUGUAGAUUUAUGCUAAUGUCCAUGCAGAUUCUGGCUGCCUUGAAGAGCAUCCAUCAACCAUUCUAUUUGGGAAUACGGAACUGUACAGACUUUCCCACUUCCAUUUCCCCUCUUCCUUUUCUGUUUCCGUUUGUGUUGCUUUUUUGAUGCAUAUGAAUACUGUGCUUGCAGCAUAAAGGCAAGGCAUUAUCUUGUGACAGGCUUUUCUGAAAGGAAAUAAGGUGCCAGUGAGGUGUCAUGUUAAUCAGCAAGUCUUAUUUCUUUAAUGAGUCUUACCUGUUCGCCAGUUAGGAUUGUUCUCUAUUUUGAGGUUUUGCUUAAUUCAAAAGGGGGUAAGUGUUGAAGCUGCCAGCUUUAAAUAUGUUUGAAAAAAUCUCACAGUAUGUUCUUCACAUUCUGCUCUACGGAAGUUUGAAGUAGGCCUGUCCCUGGCAUUUAUAGAUGAACAUAGAAAUGCUGGGGACAGGACUACUUCAAAAUUAUAAUUAGGAAAAAACAUAGAACACUGCCUAAGGUUACCUACCACUACUAGCUAUUUAAUUUAUAUACUGCUUAAUUCCAGAAUAGGCUUCUACGCAGUUUACAAGUAGAAAAGUUGUUUACACAGGCAGUGAAAUGUUAACAUCCAUAAUUAAAAUAUACACCUAACAAAGGUUCAGAGCUGAGGAGCAAUUCAGCCAGUACUCCCCAGGCCAGAACUCAACUCUGGUUCUUUGAGCAUGGUAGUUUAGUGUCUGUGCUUAUUCACUGUAGUGAGGCUUCCAUAAUGUUGCUUGAAGGUACAGCAUUCUCCUAUUUUGGUGCAAUUGAGGUUUUCCUUACUCUGUUUUUGGUCCUUGAAGUCACCAAGUUAAUAUUUUUGAAAUACUUUAGCAGUAUUCUAAGUAAAAAAUGAACAUAUGACUCCUUGCCAUUAAUGAAUUGAGGAGCUCAAUUAAUAAGGUUCUACUGUGUGUAUUAUGUAUCAUAAUUGUGCAAAUUUAUAUUUGCUGCCCUGGUCUACUGGGAGGAAGGGCGGGAUAUAAAUUCAGUAAUAAAUUAAAUAAAUAUUACAUUGUGAACUAGUUAGGAUUUAUUAGUGGUGUGUGGUGGUCAGUUAAUGAUGUAUCCUAUAAUGAAAACUUGCUGUUCACAUAAUUUAAGGGGAUUAGUAUUUGGCUUGAAGGAAAAGUACUUCAAAUGAAUACCCCACUGGUGUUGAGUCUUAAUGUAUAUUUUAUGUAUGGCUUUUCAGAGGAAAAAUAUAUUUUUUUAAUUUCCUUAGGAUUUGCUUAUUUUACAGAUGGGAAGACUGCAGCAAAGAGUUCCAGACUUCUUGAGGAAUCAAGAAGUUUCCAGGAUAAUCAGGUAUAUCGAGAGAGUUAUGAAUUCCUGGAUUUCUCAUCUGGGUGGUAGGGGCAUUUGCUGACUUUGAGUUCAUUCACUUGUGUGGAGGAUCUGUUGGACAAAUGUCCAAGCAGAAAAGGGAAAAUGUGUAAAUUUUGACAGAUCUCCAUAGGCAACAUUUUGUAUACUAUUCUAAAUAAAUAAAUACAAAAACAAA